rnacentral:rRNA from 1 species
CCUACGGGUGGCAGCAGUGAGGAAUAUUGGUCAAUGGGCUUACGCCUGAACCAGCCAAGUCGCGUGAGGGAAGACUGCCCUAUGGGUUGUAAACCUCUUUUGUCAGGGAGCAACGCCGGCUACGUGUAGCCUGACUGAUAGUACCUGCAGCAAAAGCAUCGGCUAACUCCGUGCCAGCAGCCGCGGUAAUACGGAGGAUGCGAGCGUUCUCCGGAUUUGUUGGGUUUAAAGGGAGCGUAGAUGGGUUGUUAAGUCAGUUGUGAAAGUUUGCGGCUCAACCGUAAAAUUGCAAUUGAUACUGGCAGCCUUGAGUACAGUUGAGGUAGGCGGAAUUCGUGGUGUAGCGGUGAAAUGCUUAGAUAUCACGAAGAACUCCGAUUGCGAAGGCAGCUUACUAAACUGCCACUGACAGUGAUGCUCGAAAGUGUGGGUAUCAAACAGGAUUAGAUACCCUAGUAGUC